AGCGGUAACAGCUCAAAUUUGAAAUCUGGCCCUUUUAGGGUCCGAGUUGUAAUUUGUAGAAGAUGCUUUGGGUGUGGCUCCGGUCUAAGUUCCUUGGAACAGGACGUCAUAGAGGGUGAGAAUCCCGUAUGUGACUGGCGGCCUUCGCCCGUGUAAAGCUCUUUCGACGAGUCGAGUUGUUUGGGAAUGCAGCUCUAAAUGGGAGGUAUAUUUCUUCUAAAGCUAAAUACUGGCCAGAGACCGAUAGCGCACAAGUAGAGUGAUCGAAAGAUGAAAAGCACUUUGGAAAGAGAGUUAAACAGUACGUGAAAUUGUUGAAAGGGAAGCGCUUGCAACCAGACUUGCGUGCCGUCGAUCAUCGUGGGUUCUCCCGCGUGCACUCGGCGGCGUUCAGGCCAGCAUCGGUUCCGGUGGUUGGAUAAAGGCCUUGGGAAUGUGGCUCCUCUCGGGGAGUGUUAUAGCCCUCGGUGCAAUGCAGCCUACUGGGACCGAGGACCGCGCUUCGGCUAGGAUGCUGGCGUAAUGGUUGUAAGCGACCCGUCUUGAAACACGGACCAAGGAGUCUAACAUCUAUGCGAGUGUUAGGGUGUUAAACCCUUCCGCGAAAUUAACGUGAACGGAGGUACGAACCCUUUAGGGCGCAGUAUCGACCGGUCCUGAUGUCUUCGGAUGGAUCUGAGUAAGAGCAUAGCUGUUGGGACCCGAAAGAUGGUGAACUAUGCCUGAAUAGGGUGAAGCCAGAGGAAACUCUGGUGGAGGCUCGCAGCGGUUCUGACGUGCAAAUCGAUCGUCAAAUUAGGGCAUAGGGGCGAAAGACUAAUCGAACCAUU
rnacentral:rRNA from 1 species